GGAAGCUGUGGUGGAGGCUGGAGCAAAGAACUCUUCCUUCCAAGCCGUUUCCUUCCACACGAACAAGGGAAGAACCAGAGCCAGAGGCCGGAAGGCUCACAUUUGAAAGAGAAGCUCCCAGGCUCACGAGGGCAGCUAUGACCCUACCCGCCUGAAACCAGGUUUUGGCUGGACUACACAGUAAAUUCUGGCAAUGAUGAGCUUCAUCUGGCUCAUAGACACUCCUAUCUCUGCCCAAGCUGUGCUGAGCCUGCCAGACAGUGGGAAAGCCCCUGAUGACCACGUGGAAGGGUGAUGAGGAGGACUACCAAAGCAUCAGGCAGGCAGAGGAAGACUCCCUAGACCUUCUAACCCAAUUCACCUGCCAAACACACAAUAACAAUCGUCGUGCCAGCCAACACGUGACGAGUGGCCUACAGGGUCAUUGAGACUUGAUAGACUGCACAGCAGCAUGCACCUGAAAUACCUAAGUUCUAGAUAGGGGAUGGAAAUCAUACAGUGGACAGAUGACUAAGGCAGACCAAGGGCCAAGCCAGUAUUUAACUCCAACCACAAGGCUGUGGAACAAAAAUUUGGCAUUUGUAGUGGCCGAAAGAUAAAAGACAAACUGAACAACUGCACUAAAAGCCUCCGGAUGGCCUACCCGACCUCCUCCUGGCUCCUUUCAUCUUUGCCAGCUAUGAGAAGAGGAGACCUGAAGGCCAGCAGCAUCGGCUGCUCCAGGCUACUGUCUGGAGCCACAAACACCAGUCUAUUGACCUAUUGGGUUGCAAAGCUUGAUUAGGAGGCCCAAUGUAAUCCGAGUUGGCUGGGGACAAAGGAGUAUGAAGCACCCCCUGGGUGGCCUGGCCUACCAGGGAGGCUCUUGGUGGCCCAAGUUUACAAACCCAGCUCCAGCCUUCUCAGCUUUGUUUCCAGAGACCUCAAGUGCAAAGCGAAACUGAUGCUAUCACCCUACAUGGGCAUUCUGAGGCGUGUAAUGGCAUAUGGCCCUAGUGGGGACUCUGGAAGUGGUAGGUGUAGCCUCAAAGUCUGCGUCAGUGAGACCUCAAGUCUGUGUCAGUGAGACCUCUCCUGAACCCACCAGGUGUGGGUUGUAGGAGCAGGUGGCCUUUCUAACGUAGGAAGCAGCAUCAUGUGGAAGGCAGGACAGCGGGUUCUCCACUCUGCGGCAGGUGAUCCGUUUGGCAGAGGCCUGGCAGGCCCAGAUGGUAAGAAGCCUGGAAGUCAGGGCUAAGUUUGGACUUGGAUGGAAAGGUGAGUAUUCAGGAGGCCUCCACAGAAGGCUGACCUACCGUUGGCAAUUAAAAAAAAAGAAAGUAGAACAUACACACACACACACACACACACACACACACACACAACUUAACCCCAUCGUGCUAGGGAAAGGGUGGCCUUAAUUCUAGAGCCCUGAGAGCCAGGUGAAUGUGACUGGGCUCUAGGCUUGGGCAGGUUAAUCCCCACUUCCUGUUCUCUAAGACUCCUCCCUUCUUGGCCCUGCUACCUCACAAGGGUGGUUUCCACAGAAGCCCCUGGGGCAUCCAACGUGGCCUGCUUCUGCAGGCGGAGGAGCCUGGUGUCACCCGCCCUUGGACCAGGUGGAGCUGCACCUUGGCCAGGAACCUGCACAGGAGGAGCAGCUGGCCACCCUGCUCAGGGUCCUGCCUGGGCCUGCGAGAUCUGCAGCACGAGACUCCUCCCUCUCCUGUGACACCGGCUGCAACAUGGAUGGACCUGCAGAUGGUACACUGAGUGAAGUCAGCCAGUUACAGAGGACAUGCCCCGAUAGCUCUGCUCAUCCAAGAUGUCUACCGCCAUCAGUGUCAUAGAGAGGGGGGAAGGUGUUUGUCAGGGGCUGGGGAGGAAAGCUGGGAUGUCUGUGCUCAACUAGGCAGAGUUUCAGUUUUGCGAGAUGGAAAGACUUCUGUGGUUGGAUGCUGCUCUGGCUAGUCUGAUGUCACCUUGAUACAAGUGAUAGUCGUCUGAGUCAGCUGAGAAAAAGCCUCCAUAAGAGCUGAUGGUAGGCAAGCCUGGAGGGCAUUUUCUUAACUAGUGAUUGAUGGAGGAGGUACAGCCAUUGUAGGUGGUACCACCCCUGGGCUGGUGGCUCUGGGUUCUAUGUUGGUAUAAUGUUCUUUUGGAAUGUAUACGCCUUGCCCUUGUUCAUUCAAAUGCUGAUUUCUCUCCCCCACUAUCUGGUUUCAAUCCAGACACCACAUUGUGAUACUUAUUCUAAGCAUCACCUGUGAAAAAGCAGGCUGCGCAAGCCACGAGGAGCUAGCCAUAAGUAGCACCCCUCUGCAUCAGGCUUCUGCCUCCAGGUCCCUGCCCUGGUUGAGUUUCUGUCCUGGCUUCCCCGGAGGAUGAACGGUGCUGUGAAAGUGUUACUUGCUUUGGUCAGUCACCGUAUUUCAUCAUAGCAGGAGUAAUCCUGACUAGGACAGACGUGAUAGUCACACAGCACCGUUAAGUGUUCUUGACACCUCUG